GACACCUAUGUUUCUAUCUCUGGUCGAGCCUUCAGAUUCCAGGCCAGUGUACUCUCACCUUUUACCAGACUGAUUUAACUGGCCUUGGUCUCAAUGCUAACCUCUUUAAAUCCCUUCUCUAAGUCGCUUUUUCAAAGGUACAUCAGACCAGUUACUCCACUGUUCAAAACCCUUCAAUGACUGAAUGCCCAAACAUGGGUAACAUCCCAGCCCCAGCAGGCCUGGCGGAGCCUGACACGGACCUAGACCUCCAGUCUUACCAGAUGCUACCCUCCGACCUUCUGGCUCGCUUACACUCUGCUGAGGAAGCAGAAUCCAGUCCUCCUUCAGGGCCUUUGAACACGCUGUCAAAAACGCUCUCUCCUCCCUCCUCCUCUGGCGGACUCUUACUCAUCUACCAGCUCCUGACUUACAGGAGGUCCAUUUCUCUUCAUUCAUCACUGUGUACUCAAUGUCUGGAGCAAAACAGGGCACAAAUAAAAUCAUGUGUUUUAAAUAUA